UACGUAGGGUGCAAGCGUUGUCCGGAAUUAUUGGGCGUAAAGAGCUCGUAGGCGGUUUGUUGCGUCGGCUGUGAAAUCCCGAGGCUCAACCUCGGGUCUGCAGUCGAUACGAGCAAACUAGAGUGUUGCAGGGGAGACUGGAAUUCCUGGUGUAGCGGUGAAAUGCGCAGAUAUCAGGAGGAACACCGGUGGCGAAGGCGGGUCUCUGGGCAACA
rnacentral:rRNA from 1 species